rnacentral:lncRNA from 1 species
CUUUGUGGACAGGAGUUCAGGUAAUCAUUUGGUAUUUCAUCAUCACCUUGGAUGAAGCUACGCACAAAACCAUUUUGUACUUUACCAUAUGCAAUUCAAUCUGCCUUGAUUUCCUGGUUGUAUUAUGGGGCAAAGGAUGAUACUCUCAGAUAGUUUAGUACCCUCAAAAUUCCAGGACACAAUAGCAGUGAAAUACUCUGUCGCUGACUCAAAACUUUUUGGUGAACUAAUGUGCCCUAUUCUGUAUAGAAAUCAUUUCUGAUAAAUUAUCCAGUUGUUCAUACCAAUCAAGGAAAGACUUGAAAAAGUGACAACAAAUAGAAACAGCUAAAGGAAAGUUCUGCUAUUUCUGCGCAAAAGAGAAUCACAUCUUAUACCAUACAGGCAUAACUGUAGAAGAGUUCCAUAAUCAUAACCUGUGAAAUUUAUUCCCAAAAAGCUGGAUUGAAGAGUCAGUUUUUCAACAUUUUCCUAGCCUUCGGAUAAUUGGAAUAUUGCGCAAUCCGUCCUUUCAACUUUCCCUGCAGGAAAAUUUUUCCUGGCAAAUCUACAAGGAUAUUUAAGUUAUAACAUAAACAUUUUACUUCCCUUUGAACUUUUCUUUUGGUAUUCAAACAAACAAUUACAAGAACAUUAUUUUUCUUGUCUUUCCUUUACUUCAUCUUUCUUAAGAACACAUUUUCUCUUUUCUCUUUGGACAUUCAAAGUGAAACCAAACAAAACGAAGUAGUAAAAGGUUUCUGAGCAAUUGCUUCUAUCUGUGGCAGAAGUUAAAAUUAAAACAUCCUUAUAACAGAAAAUGAAGUUAUAAUUAAAACAUACUGAAUGAAUUUCAUUUUUGCUAUUUUUUGUACAGUUUGUUUUUAUUUCUCAUAUACUAAUCAAACAAUCAACAACUCCUCAAUCCAAACCAAUUAGGUUCAGUUAUAUGAUUAUUUCAUUCUAGUACUAACUGAAACGACUUUAAAGACAAGUGGGGGUUUUUAACUCUCGUCCUUAUUCCUACAUUGAUAUACAAGUCCUAACUAGAUUAUAAGGACUCCCGACAAAAAUAACAAAAAUAAACUAAAGAGUUAAUCACCACUAGUUGGUAUCACUUAUAUGCAGCUGUACACCCCAAUAGUAACCAUACAAGACCGAUAUACACGAUCCAUCACAAUGGAGAAUAACAAGGCAUAUCCAAAUAAGGGGCAAAAUAUGAUGACACAUAUGAAUAGAUAGAACCCGGAUCAAAUAAUACAGAAGCAGCUUUAUGACAAACCGAAACAAUACAUGUGAUUACAAUAUCUCAUGCCACCGCCUUGGGUCUACCCGGAAAAGCAAAGCAACGAGCCUAACCACCACCGAUUUGGGAAUCCAUAACGGGAUUCAAUUAUUUCUAGGAAUCCUAGGUAAUUAUUUUUACCCUAAUUGCACCGUGUAAUUUGGGGAGGAAGGGGAUUCAAUUGAACCACUUCCUUACCUUUAGCUCCCCCAUUUUAUGGGGUCCUUAACUUUUAUUAUUAUGUCUUAGUCUUAUUCUUAGUUAAUUUCACAUUAAAUCUGCGAGGUUAUAUGUUACAUUAUCAACUUGUAGCACAUUCAUCAGAAUAGUGAUUUGGACGUCUACAUCUGUAAGGCAAAACCAUCUCAGUCAACCUAUCUUUGUUUUAUCGUCUACGUUCUAUAUGUAACUGCAAUAUAGAAGAGUAAAGUUGAAUUUUUCGUACGUUGGUUAGACAUCGAUGAAAUUCAUAAAAGCAUUACCUGAGACGGGCGAGGCGAAAAAACGGUGACGAAAGAUGUAGCGUCGGUGGCCGAUGUCGACAAAAAAAACAAAAAGGAAAAAGUGUUAAGAGAAUGAAUGUCUAUGUUGUAG